GACGAACGCUGGCGGCGUGCCUAAUACAUGCAAGUCGAGCGAGCGGAACUAACAGAUUUACUUCGGUAAUGACGUUAGGAAAGCGAGCGGCGGAUGGGUGAGUAACACGUGGGGAACCUGCCCCAUAGUCUGGGAUACCACUUGGAAACAGGUGCUAAUACCGGAUAAGAAAGCAGAUCGCAUGAUCAGCUUUUAAAAGGCGGCGUAAGCUGUCGCUAUGGGAUGGCCCCGCGGUGCAUUAGCUAGUUGGUAAGGUAAAGGCUUACCAAGGCGAUGAUGCAUAGCCGAGUCGAGAGACUGAUCGGCCACAUUGGGACUGAGACACGGCCCAAACUCCUACGGGAGGCAGCAGUAGGGAAUCUUCCACAAUGGACGCAAGUCUGAUGGAGCAACGCCGCGUGAGUGAAGAAGGUUUUCGGAUCGUAAAGCUCUGUUGUUGGUGAAGAAGGAUAGAGGUAGUAACUGGCCUUUAUUUGACGGUAAUCAACCAGAAAGUCACAGCUAACUACGUG
rnacentral:rRNA from 1 species